rnacentral:rRNA from 1 species
GACGAACGCUGGCGGCGUGCCUAAUACAUGCAAGUAGAACGCUGAAGAGAGGAGCUUGCUCUUCUUGGAUGAGUUGCGAACGGGUGAGUAACGCGUAGGUAACCUGCCUUGUAGCGGGGGAUAACUAUUGGAAACGAUAGCUAAUACCGCAUAACAAUGGAUGACACAUGUCAUUUAUUUGAAAGGGGCAAUUGCUCCACUACAAGAUGGACCUGCGUUGUAUUAGCUAGUAGGUGAGGUAAUGGCUCACCUAGGCGACGAUACAUAGCCGACCUGAGAGGGGGAUUGGCCACAAUUGGACUGAGACACGGCCCAGACCCCUGCGGGAGGCAGCCAUAGGGAAUAUUCGGCAAUGGGGGCAAGCCUGAACGAACAAAGACGCGAGAGGGAAGAAAGUUUUCGGAUCGUAAAGGUCUGUUGUAAGUCAAGAACGGGUGUGAGAGUGGAAAGUUCACACUGUGACGGUAGCUGAACAGAAAGGGACGGCUAACUACGUG